CAUCGUGAGGUGGAAUCUGAAGGAAGCCGGCGGCAAAAGUCUGGCCUGACGGACAGAAAUCGCAUAUAAGGCCUACAUGUAGGGUAAGACUGCUAAUGAAGUCAAAGCCCGAUAGUCAUUCGGAAUACAUGUGGGUAAAUGCGGCAGGCAUAAAGCUGAAAGAG
rnacentral:ncRNA from 1 species